GAUGAGGUGGCCGAGUGGUUAAGGUGAUGGAUUACUAAUCUAUUGUGCUUUGCACACAUGAGUUCGAAUCCCAUCCUCAUUG